ensembl:snoRNA
UGGAUCGAUGAUGACCGCUGGUGGCGUAUGAGUCGCGUACGAUGAAUACGUGUCUGGAACUCUGAGGUCCAA